GUCUUUCAGGAUGAAUGCCAUCCACACAAAAGAGCUCCUGUUGACAUCUCAUUUACAAUCUCCCCCAGGACACAGACAAGACCCUUUCAAUAAAUCCAGCUCAGAAACACCUAUUGUUCAAAAUCUUCAACUCGCCACAGGCUACCACCACUCCCUAUGGCUUUGCAAAAUUAAAGAUUUAGAAGAAGGAUGGGGCGGUGGAAGCUAUGAAAAGAGGCAGGAAAAAAGUUCCUUUGACCCGAUGCUGUCAGAGAGCGUGCAUGAAGAAGAAAGUUAAUGGUAUUUCCAUUUAUAUAAGAAGCGCCUAAGAAAUGCCUGUGACGUUCGUGAACUAGUGAUUGUGAAUUCCAAAUUUGAUGCCAACUUUAUGUGUAAAGAAGCUAACUCCUGCCAACAUCGUGGCUGAAUGAACAGCUGGGACUAUGCUUAACCCAUUCCCAGCUUAUAAAAGCCCCAUGGCAGCUGCAGUGAAGCAUCAGGUGAGUCUGAUAUGGGCUGUCUGUUCCCUCGGGGAUUUGAAUCUUGCCUGUCCUUUCCAAGUGGAGUCUUGUGCCUAAGUGCUAGAGCCCACUCCUUCCUCCCCACUGAUUCCCUUCUUUCCAUUUCUGCCAUUUCCCUUCUUCUUUUAAUAAAACUUGGACAUUUUCUGGA
rnacentral:lncRNA from 1 species